rnacentral:rRNA from 1 species
GAUGAACGCUGGCGGCGUGCCUAAUACAUGCAAGUCGAGCGAACAGACGAGGAGCUUGCUCCUCUGACGUUAGCGGCGGACGGGUGAGUAACACGUGGAUAACCUACCUAUAAGACUGGGAUAACUUCGGGAAACCGGAGCUAAUACCGGAUAAUAUAUUGAACCGCAUGGUUCAAUAGUGAAAGACGGUUUUGCUGUCACUUAUAGAUGGAUCCGCGCCGCAUUAGCUAGUUGGUAAGGUAACGGCUUACCAAGGCAACGAUGCGUAGCCGACCUGAGAGGGUGAUCGGCCACACUGGAACUGGGACACGGUCCAGACUCCUAGGGGGGGCAGCAGUGGGGAAUCGCCCGCAGGGGGCGAAAGCCGGAGGGGGCAACGCCGGGGGGGUGGUGAGGGUCUUGGGAUCGUAAAACUCUUUUAUUGGGGAAGAAAAAAUGGGUAAGUAACUAUGCCCGUCUGGGCGGUACCUAAUCAGAAAGCCCCGGCUAACUACGG